CUCGUAGGUGGUUCGUCGCGUCCGGUGUGAAAGUCCAUCGCUUAACGGUGGAUCCGCGCCGGGUACGGGCGGGCUUGAGUGCGGUAGGGGAGACUGGAAUUCCCGGUGUAACGGUGGAAUGUGUAGAUAUCGGGAAGAACACCAAUGGCGAAGGCAGGUCUCUGGGCCGUCACUGACGCUGAGGAGCGAAAGCGUGGGGAGCGAACA
rnacentral:rRNA from 1 species